GACGAGCCACACGAACGUUAUUCGGAAUUACUGGGCUUAAAGGGUGCGUAGGCGGCGUGGAAAGUUGGGUGUGAAAUCCCUCGGCUUAACCGAGGAACUGCGCCCAAAACUACCGUGCUCGAGGAAGAUAGAGGUAAGCGGAACUUACGGUGGAGCGGUGAAAUGCGUUGAUAUCAGGAGGAAUACCGAUGGCGAAGGCAGGUCUCUGGGCUGACACCUGACGCUCAUGCACGAAAGCGUGGGGAGCAAACAGG
rnacentral:rRNA from 1 species